rnacentral:rRNA from 1 species
GACGUAGGGCGCGAGCGUUGUCCGGAUUUAUUGGGCGUAAAGAGCUCGUAGGCGGCUUGUCGCGUCGACUGUGAAAUCCCGCGGCUCAACUGCGGGUCUGCAGCCGAUACGGGCAGGCUAGAGUUCGGUAGGGGAGACUGGAAUUCCUGGUGUAGCGGUGAAAUGCGCAGAUAUCAGGAGGAACACCGGUGGCGAAGGCGGGUCUCUGGGCCGAUACUGACGCUGAGGAGCGAGAGCGUGGGGAGCGAACAGG